UAGAAGGUGGUGUAGUGGAAGCACCCAGAGUUUUGAUCUCUGGAGGAGGGGUUCGAGUCCCUUCUUUCUAA
rnacentral:tRNA from 1 species